rnacentral:rRNA from 1 species
GAUGAACGCUGACAGAAUGCUUAACACAUGCAAGUCUUUGGCGAAGCUGUGCUUGCACCGCCUGGCCACGGCGGACGGGUGAGUAACGCGUAAGGAACUUGCCCUGCAGUCAGGGAUAACAGACGGAAACGACUGAUAAGACCUGGUAAAGUCAGGCGGACUCAUGUCCAGCCUGAUGAAAAGAGAUGCUGCAGGAGAGCCUUGCGUCCUAUUAGCUUGUUGGUGGGGUAACGGCCCACCAAGGCGAUGAUAGGUAGCCGGCCUGAGAGGGUGGACGGCCACAAGGGGACUGAGAUACGGCCCUUACUCCUACGGGAGGCAGCAGUGGGGAAUAUUGGACAAUGGGGGCAACCCUGAUCCAGCAAUUCUGUGUGCACGAUGAAGGUUUUCGGAUUGUAAAGUGCUUUCAGCAGGGAAGAAAAAAAUGACGGUACCUGCAGAAGAAGCGACGGCUAAAUACGUG